GUCUGUGGCCGUACCAGCCUGAACACGCCUGAUCUCAUCUCAUCUCAGAAGCUAAGCAGGGUCCGGCCUGGUUAGUACUUGGAUGGGAGAUAGUAAAUGAGAAACCCCUUUGUUUAUUCAUGGCUGAAGAAGUCC
rnacentral:rRNA from 1 species